rnacentral:tRNA from 1 species
GGUGGUAUAGCUCACUGGUAGAGUGCAUGUUUAGUAUGCAUGAGGUCUUGGGUUCAAUCCCCAGUACUUCCA